rnacentral:lncRNA from 1 species
AUGCGCAACACGGCAAGAAACAUCCAAACAUUAGUGGGGCGAUACAUCCAAUUUCACAGAUUUACACAAAGUAUUGGAAUCUUGGUGCCCCAGAACAAGAAAAUCCAGAGUGCUGAAACAGGGAUCAGUCAGUGAACGUUUCAACGUGAAAUCUGAAAGUGGUGACAAGUUGAUCUCACCAUUAAAUUUGGGUAUUUUAAUUCCAUAAUUCCAUAAAAUAAUUCCUAUAUUAAAGGGCAGUGAGCAUGU